GACGAACGCUGGCGGCGUGCUUAACACAUGCAAGUCGAACGGAAAGGCCCUGCUUUUGUGGGGUGCUCGAGUGGCGAACGGGUGAGUAACACGUGAGUAACCUGCCCUUGACUUUGGGAUAACUUCAGGAAACUGGGGCUAAUACCGGAUAGGAGCUCCUGCUGCAUGGUGGGGGUUGGAAAGUUUCGGCGGUUGGGGAUGGACUCGCGGCUUAUCAGCUUGUUGGUGGGGUAGUGGCUUACCAAGGCUUUGACGGGUAGCCGGCCUGAGAGGGUGACCGGCCACAUUGGGACUGAGAUACGGGCCAGACUCCUACGGGGGGCAGCAGUGGGGAAUAUUGCACAAUGGGCGGAAGCCUGAUGCAGCAACGCCGCGUGCGGGAUGACGGCCUUCGGGUUGUAAACCGCUUUCGCCUGUGACGAAGCGUGAGUGACGGUAAUGGGUAAAGAAGCACCGGCUAACUACGUG
rnacentral:rRNA from 1 species